rnacentral:lncRNA from 1 species
UCAAUUAUAAUCAAUAACAACAUUGUGGCAGCAUUAAUAGAAACCAGGAAUUUGCCAGUGUGGUUACAAUGAAAAGAAUCAGAAAAAAUAUUUUCUACAUUAUGAUUUAAAGAGAAGCAAGCAAGAAACAGUAGGAGCCUUGGUGUUCAUUUCCUACCUCCAUUACUGAUGCUCCUUUUCAGCUUGGAGGGUGGGCAUUGCUUUAAAGGGUUUUACUGCAAAUCUAUUCAUACAAUACAAACAGCUUACUGGGAUUACAUGUACUAACUGCCAUUCGUCAUCUCAGUUGCCAGUUGCCACAAUGGAGAAGCUCUCAACUACCACAAACUUCUAAUAAAUGAGACAAAAUCUAGAAUAUUGAUGAAGGGCAUUGGAAAAAUGCUAGUCUUACAACCUUCUUUACCACUUGCUGAUGUGUGUGACAUUAAAUGUCACCAGAUUAAUUUACAUUUGAAUGUGCGUUAAUUAGUACAUUCAAAAAGAGACUCAAAUCAAUAUCUAUCAGUAAUUUAUAUUGUUUUUCUGGUUAACCAAUCAGUAUUGAUUAAAACAGAAACUAGAGCUACAGAAUCAAGGUUCAAGUUGUCCAUUUUGAAAUGGUAAACCGUUGAUCUCCUUCAUGAUCAAGUUAACAGUAGCUAAGUGUAAUGGCUAAACAGGUUCUUAACUUCUAGAAGCAUAAUCUUUAUAAAUUUCAGAUGGCAUAGGAAAGAGAAAAGACAAAAAGAAAAAGAAAAAUGACACCAAAAGGAUUUAAAACGGAGAAAAAAAAGAGAGGCAGCAAAUUCAGUUACCUUGUUGAUAAUAAGCUCUGCAUGUUUCACAAGCAGCGAUAGUGUGUCACCUGAAGCAGUACCAAUAGUGGCAGUGCAGCUCAUUUUUAUCAUACAAUAUAUUUCAAGACAUAAAUCAAUUAUCCACAUUAGACACAACUACAACCAUGCUCAUGAAAGGUCAAAGACCACUUAUCCAUCAUCACAUGCAAUCAGAAUUAAUACCUGAGACUCAGCUAUUAAGCGAACCAUGGGCAGAACUAUUGGUUACAUCACUAAAUUCCGACGUUUCGUACAAACAGGUGGAAUUUGGAAGCGCCUCCAAAAGAAAUCAAUCGAGAGGUUGAGAAAAAUUAAAGAAAAAAAAAAAGAAAAGAAAGAAAUACUACAGAUCAGGGAAAGGACCGAAGAGCCGAAAACUCAGUUUUGACAGUUCUACGUUUUCCGAUAAAUUGAUGAAGUGCAAGUCGAGUAAAGAGAACCAAACAAGUAGCGAAACUUAAAACUGAAAAACAUCCUAUUUUCAUCUCAUUUUCCUACAUUUUCUCAGAAACCAGAGGAGGUGAACCACUCUGCAAUUCUUCCUUUUUCAGUUCUCUUUAUUUUGAAUUAACGAAGUCGAAGCUAAGUAGAAGUCAAGAAAUAAGAAGCGAAAAGUCUUGAGAGUGAAAGUUCUCCGAUCUUGGCUCAAUUUUCCUCAUUUUUCUUGGCAACCAAACAGAGAAGAGACAUUUGCACGGCUGGAGAAGACGACGACGGUAACAUUGACGUCGCAGAGAACAGAGAGCUGGCAAGGUUUCUUGAUCAAGCCAUUUCGCCUCUUGGAGAAGGUCACUUGGCGACUGCUCGUCUUCCAUUCGCAUCAUCCCGACCAUAACUCUACUUCGAGCCAUAACUCAGAGAGAGAGAGAAAAGAAGACUUCCUACAAUUCCGAUCCCUCUUGCUCCGGUUAUGGGAUGCUUGCUCUUAACCCCCUUUGAACAUGAGUGGAAACAAAGCUGUGGGCUGUGCAACGAGAAUUAAAUCAUCCUUCUAUUUUUUAUGUUCAGAAAAUAUAAAGCAAAGAAAGAAAAAUAGAGAAAUAAAGUGAAAAAAAGUAAAAAAAUAUAAUUAAAAUUCAUAAAUAAAUAUUUAAUAAUCUUAAUAACUUUGAAAUAAUAAGAAUAUUUUGUGAAGAAUAUUUUGAAAAGAAAAAAGUUUUCAAAAACAACAUUUAGAUGAAAAAUAUUUAUUUAUUUUUAUAUAAAUAAAUAUAAAUGGAUUGGGAAGAAUUUAAAAUAAUUUUAAUGUAAAGUUAAUUUUAGAUCAUUUUAAUAAGUUGGUAUUAGAUUAAAGUAUUUUAUUUAAUUGAAUGUAUCCAAUUUAUAAUUUAUAGAUUUUCUACUAAUUUUAGAAAAUACAAAUUAUUGAGAAAAAAAUUUAUAUACUUUUACAAAAAUCUAAUUUUCAUAUUCUUACAUCACAUUUUAGGGGUCGUAAAGAUAUUCUAGAAAAUAGAUCUUUUAUUGUAGUUUUAAAUUUUAGAAAUUAGUUUUGUAAGGUUUAAUUAUGAUUCAAUCACUUGAUCUCAGGAAUAAAUAAUCAGGCAGGAUUAAAUAUUUUUUAAAUUCCGCUAGCUAACGUGUCAAAAUCUUAUGGACACUGCAGCGAAUCGCAGUGCACCACCACGCAGAGGAUCCAGGUCCUUACCCAAACUUUUGAAUUAAUCUUACGUGUCGAUAUCUCAUGCACACUGUGGGAAAUUGCCGUGCACCGCAUCACAGAGGAUCCAGGCCCUCAUCCACACUUUUGAAUCCAAGCGUUUCCCGCGUCUAUAAAUAGCGAAGCAUGAACUUCUCAGAGCUCCGUUUGUGUUGUUUCUGAGGAGUGAGGAUUGAGAUUUGAAGAGGACAAAAUGGGGAAGCGAAUGAGAAGAGAGAAGUCCAUUUGCUGCUGCAACUCUCCUCUCGCUGGUUUCUCCUGGUACUCUCUCUUCGACUCUGCGAGUUUCUCUCUGAAAUCAGCUCGAAUUUCAUGAAAUUUUGAAGAAACUUUGAAUUUCGUAAAUAAUUUGAUGAAACUUCAUGAUAAUGUAAAAUAGUUCCAGGCAAUGAAUAUUUAGUUUGAAUUCUAUCAUAUUUGAUGUAGAAGAAGCUGUCUCUCUCUAUUCUUUCUCAAAAACUCUACCGAUUCCUCUUACAGAUCCACGGGAAUUUCAUGAAAAUUUGAAUGAUCAAUUUCAACCUUGAUACAUCUAUCAAUCGAACUCUCUUUCUCUAAUGUUUUCUUUGGAAAACAAUGCCACUGCAAAUAUGAUUUGAAGUUUGCUCGAGUUUUCAUGAAUAAGCAUAAUCAGAAAAAUGUAAACUAUUACCAGAAAUUCUCUCUCCUUCAGGUUUGGUACAUUUAUGGAUAACUAUCUCUCACUUCCGAUGCAAUUUGAUGCGAAAAAUCAAUGUGAAUAUGGAUAUCAUUUGAUAUUGUCUUGAACUGUUUUACAUUAUCAUAAUCAGAAGAAUGUGGAAGACUAAAGUCGAAUUUGGAUUUCCUAUACUUAUCCAUUAAUCUUAAUACAGAGGUAAUAUUAAUCUUCACUCAUUAGCACAAUCAGAAGAAUUGUCGAACACUACCAGCAGUUCUCUCUCCCUUGCUUGAGAACUCUAUGGCUCUGUCAAAUUGCUUGGAUUUUCAUGAAAUCUUGAAUGUUUAUUUUGAAUGCUGUACAUUUCAAAUAAUAAAGUUUAUAAUAAUGAAAACAUUUUUUUUUUCCUUUUUUUUAAAAUAUAUAUAUUUCACAGCCACUGAAAGAAGUGAAUUUCUUUUCUGAUUUGGAUCUCUAUACCCUUUACUGUUUUAAUUUUUAUAAAAAUUAAUACUAUAUGAGUCCUAAAUUUAUCCUUCUCUCAUCCAGAUUCCUUGCAACAAUACUGGUCAAAUGUUUCUUUUUUAUUUUGACCUUUUUAUGUGUAUUGCUGUGUAUUGCAUGCAAAAAGGUAUGAAGAAGACAUAUGGACAGAGAUUGCAAAGCACCUGGAUGGUAAAUCUCUGGUGAUGCUGGGAACAACAAAUAAGUGGUUCCACUGUCUGAUCAUGGAGGACAGUAUAUGGAAGUUUGCUUGUCUGCGUGAUCUCCAGCUACCAGAACCACAACACACAUUCCUCAAUUGGAUCAAGCUUUAUGCUUCUGCUUUUGGUAAUGAGCAGGGUGUUAAAUUUUCUCCAUAUUUCAGUUAUGUUAUGGUUCUUAUAGUGGAUUAGUAUCACCAUCUGCUUAAUGACUGCCUUGCAGAUGGAAGUCACUCUUUCAUGUUCCGUCAGCGGGAGAAACAUAUUGGUAAUUGCCCUUCCCUUUUUACUGUUAUCUGGAUUUUUUUGCCUUAGUUGCAAGAGACACCAAUUAGUUCUCAUGGUUGAAGCGGCUGCUUCCAUGGUCUCUGGAGACUGUUCUUAUGAACAAUUUUCAGUUAUUAAAUAACAGUGCACAUUGUUUAGGGAGGAGGCUAAUUCGGUGCAGUUAAGGUGAGAAAUUGUUUGGAAAGCACAGACAAUAAUUGUAUACCAUCAAAGUAUUGUAACUUUUCUUACUGACGAGUCUUAAAAGAGUGAUGGAACUCAUUGUGCCACAUUAUGCCACUGCUUGUGCUUUAGCAGAGUAGAAAGGAUCAAUCCCAUGAGUCUCAAAAGAUAAGUUAGAUUAUUAUCUAGUUUUGGGUUCUGCCCUUGGAUAGGACUCAGGACACAUCAAUUUUAAGUUUACCCUAUUUUUCAUCUACUUUUUUCUUAACAGGGAUAGACAAUUUGUAAAUUUUUUUUCUCCUUAUCAUCAUUCUUACCAAACAUCAUGCAUUUUUCAAAAUAUGAAUUCAAAGUCUUUUCUCUAGAUUCAUAAUUUUUCAUGCAUUUUUUUUUUUAAUGAAACCAAAUAGAUUGGAUGCGAAUCGGUGCUUUUUUCCUUGAUUCACCAAUUGCGCUCCUAGCUGAGAAGCUGAAUUGCCCCUUGAAAAUGCCACAAGGUGAAAACUUAGGGAAAACAUUGGAGUCAUGCGGCUUCUGCAUAUUGAACAAUAUCAAAACGGGGAUCUGGAUAGCUGGUACUUCUAAACAUUGAAGGAUGUUGUGUUCAAUUACUUGGACUAGUAUCACUCCAGCUAAUUACAUAUUUUUCCUGGAUUUGUCUUUUCAGAUCUACAACUUGUUAGAUGCCCUGUCUGUGACCUCAACACAUGUGAUGGUAAGCAGGAAUCCAUCUAUCAAUAAAUUUGAACUCCUAAAGAGCCAUUUUUGUUAAUGCUGGUAAAAACAGAUUGCUGGUUGAAGAGUUUGAUUGUAACUCAACACAUACUGGGCGCUAUUUUAGCCAGUUAGCCUAAUAUAGACAAAGGCCAAACUUUACAGAAUGUGGAACACUUCCUAUUUUUGCUCAAGUAGUUCAAGGAGUAGGUUGUUAAUAUGCUAUGGGCUAGGCAUAGAGAUUCUUCAAGGAACAGUUCUUACAGCUUGUUUUGUUGUAUUCAUUGGAGGAUCAUGUUUGUCAUUUUAUAGGGAAGUAAUUGAUCCAAAUUGUUUUGCUUUGUUAGUAAAACCAAACUGUAAAAUCAGAAGCUUGAGGGCAACCAGGAAUGCAUCCUAAUGAGCUAUUUCUUGGUUUACAUGAGGCCAAAUUCAUUGGCCUUCCAACAAGUAGGAAGGUUUACAGAGCAUGUUUAGGUAUUUUUGGUUAGAGAACCACAUAUUCCACUUAAACUAUUCAUUACAGGCAGUUGGUGUCUUAAAUUCUGUGUUGAAGCACAACUCAAAAUGGUAACUUGCUCAUUUAUGCAGGAACCAUGCAGACAUUAGAUGCUAGGCAUAUAGAACUCUUCCUAAGUGAGGGCUACAGGGAUGGGAGCUGGGAGUACCAGAUAAUAGGAUCUCAUGACAUCAAAAAGCAUGCAGAUGGAGCUUCUGCAGGCAUUUUUGAUAUCAAACACCUCAAUGAUUCUUCAACCUCUGGUAACUCUAUAUGCUUCAUGCCAAUUUGUCAUUUCAUUCUUCUGCCUGCUAGUCAUUUCAUGUCUUUGGGGCAAACAAGCAAAAUUUUGUGUUCUGCUAAUUGCCAACGACGGCCCAAUAAAAUUGAUCACUUUUGCAUUAGGGCUUGGAGUGGCUGUUAUGAAAUUUUGAGGCUUCUUUUCUCCUUGACUUUGCAGUAAUCCAAUAGAAGAUGGAGAGUUUUUACUAAUAUUUUUCUAUCUUAGCUUUCUUUUCCUGUUAACUAAUUUCUCAUGGAACUACAUCUAUGCUACUUUUUGUGAACCAAAUGACUUUAAAGUUCCUCUAUGUAUGGUAUCAUUGAUAGAAUCUCUUUCUAGUAACUAUGAUGAUCCUUCAAUGUGAUUCACAUACACCAACAAAAGAAUUUUUAAAAGAAUCACAAUUAGUAUUGGCCAAAAGAUUCUCUAUCUAGGUGUGCAUCAACUGUUAAUAACCAAAAAUUAGAUAUUUCUGAAAUUAAAGAUAUAUUAGUCUCAUCAAAUCUCCAUGUGAAUUGGCAGAGAUCUUUAAUCUCAAGUCAUGGGUAGGGAAACCCAAUGAUUGGCAACCAAAGGCUAUGAUUACCCUACAUGCAGUUGCAAUCAACACAAAUUUACAAGAGAAUGAAGGUAAAAACUUCCCAAUUGUAUAACCUCCUAUAUCAAUUUACUCUCCAGUUUAUCAGUCUUAUACUCAUGUCAUCAAUUAGUCACCUCAGUUACUUAAAUCAAAUGAGCAGAUUAAUUAUAUUUGCCCAUUAAUAUUCAGCCGUUUACUGACAGUAUACACAUCUACACUUUGUUAAAGAUUUCACAUCCAAAUAUAACCUUACAUGUUUUCUUAUCUUUUCUAUGAAUCAGGUCUUCAUGUAAAAUACCAAGCUAUGAAAGCUGGGCCUGAUGGAGAAGUUGUUUCUCUGAGAAUCUCACAGCAGCUCCUGUAAUUCUCCUUAAAUCAGAUAGAAAUAUACAGCUUUUUCUUCAAGGCUUAACAAAGAAGCCUUUUUGACAUUUUAGUAAAUAAAUAUACCUCACAAAUAAAUGAGUUCUGUAUACGUGCAUAUCAGUUAAGAGACUGUUAUGUAGUCAACUUCAUAAAGAAAAUACAAAUAUUCAGUUGUUUCAGUCUUCCCUCUGCAUACCUUAUAUUGAUGUGCAUAUUACUAUUACCAUGGUACAUACAUUCCGAUUUGUUAAUAGCUUUUCUAUAUUUUUUAUAGUCUGCCUCUGUAACAGUACCGAACAGAUGGAACCAUUUCAUUUCUGUGGUGUUUGUGUCAGCACCCAAGGGCUUCCCUAGUAGGUAUGGGCCAUAAAAUGACAACUUGGUUAUUAGAAAUUACCCUUGUAUGAACUUUUGACUUUAGAAAUCUUUAAAUAGUUUAAUGGGGUCUUACUAAUAAGGGAUGGCCAUCCCUUGAAUCAUUCCUUUCAAACUCAUGGCUUUCUUGGACAUCUUCUUCUUUCUCUUCUCUGUCUUUCCCCUGAUUCUUGCAAGAGAGGCUUGCCCAGUUUCCAGGUGUGGCAGCAAUGGCUCCACAAUUGGAUUCCCUUUCCACCUAGUAGGCCAGCAACACCAAAACUGUGGUUAUCCCGGGUUCAAUCUAAGCUGCGGGAGUCCAGGUAUAACAGUUCUGAGACUUCCUUAUUGGGGAGAAUUCUUCGUUCGCGGUAUCAAUUAUAUCACACAAGAGAUACAACUCUAUGACCCGGACAAUUGCCUUCCUAAACGACUUCUGGCCUUCGAUAUUACGGGUUCUCCUUUCAUGGCUGAGUACUACCUGAACUACACCUUCCUCAUCUGCCCCUCUGAGCUCACAAGGUUUCGGUUCACCGCCAUUGACUGUCUCAGCAAUUCCACAUCCUCGGUCUUAGCUACUUCUUCCAUGAGUCUUGUUAGUAAAAUGUCCUCAUGCCAGAUACUCACUACUCUAGCAGUUCCAGUUUCGUGGCCUGUUCAGAAUGAGGAAGACUUCUCAUCAGACCUCAACUCAGAUCUUCAGUUAACAUGGGAUGUGCCCAGUUGCGGAGACUGCCAAGCUCAAGGCGGUUCAUGCGGGUUCCAGAACAGCUCCAGUCUAGAAGUCGGAUGUUUCUCUACGCCCGGAACAGGUACAUGAUCUUUCCUCAUCUUCGCCGAUUCAUUCUCUUUACAUCUUCUUUUGCACCAAAGAUUUUCUCAAUCACAACGACUUCAUACCGCCAUCUAGCCUAAAACAUUUGAGGAAAAAAACUUUGUGAUUUUCUGAUUGGGUCAAGAUAUUCUUGGUGGAGCCAAGCUGUAGUUGGCCAAGAAACUGAGAUAAAGAGGAUAUUUUUAGCUUUGCAAUAGUCAAUAAUACGAUGAUGAUGGCAUGACAUGUAAUUGGUUUUGUGAAAUUGACUUUAUACCAUUAUUAUUAUUAAAUUAACCAAAAUUAUAGCUAACAAUAACAAUGUCAACUUGGCGGUAGCCAACUUGAGAUGUAAACAGUGACGUUGCUUUUCUCAUUUAAAAUGGGUUAUAGGGAAUUGCGUGUACUAAAUGUACUCCAUUCUUUGAAUCGCCUUGAAAGUCAAAAUCGCCCACAGCCCUACUACAGUUUUGAUAGAGUCAUUUGAGGGCUUCAUGCGGUGAAACCAGGGAAAGCAAAAGUGACAAUGGCAUAGAAAAUGAAAAAUGGUCCUUUCAAUUUCUUCAAGAUCAUUAUAGUUUUGGAAAGUAAAAGAAUAAUCCUAUAUCGGUAGAAGUCAAUGUUUUAUAAAAUUUUAAAAAUCACCCACUCUCCCACUCCGAGAAUGGCUUUUAGAAGAUGUUAGAACUUAGAAAAGCGUGAACAGAGCCUCAUUCAACAAUAAAAAUGCUCAUAAGAAAACUCUUUUGCACAUGAUUUGCAGACAAUGGAAGCGAAUCCAGUGGUAGUCUCCGAGUCUUUAGGAUCAUUUCCUUGUCCAUUACCUUACCAGCCAUCAUAUGUGCUGUUGGGAUCGCAUUCUUCAUAUGCUUCAGUGACAGGAGGCGCGACCACAGCCGGGUAAACGCUGCACAGCAGAGCGCUGCUUCUCUUGAAGCGCCACAGGAGCCUGCUGCCAUGAUGGGCCUAGAUGAGUCCACCAUUGAGUCCUACACAAAAGUGGUUCUUGGAGAAAGCCGACGCGUUCCUGGACUUAAUGACAGCACUUGCCCUAUAUGCUUAUCGGACUACUGCACCAAGGAGACACUGAGGUGCAUACCUGACUGCGGACAUUGCUUCCAUGCUGAGUGCAUUGAUGAGUGGCUCCGGGUGAAUGGAAGCUGCCCAGUUUGCCGGAAUUCUCCAUCUCCUGUCUAUGUGAAUCCAUAGCUUCUCUGUAGCCUGGCUGAAAUGAAUAAAUUGAAAAUUCCUACAAAUUGAAUUCCUUUCUCAACCGUCCAUAUCCAGUCUCCCGAGAUCCAAACAGAAUUAUUUAGUGAUGGGGUGUUAUUCAUUUUUAUGUGUACAUUGUGAUUGUCAGCUGGAAACAUAUGGUGUUCAUUUAUAUUGUGCACCCUGAAAUUGUGAGUUGUAACAUAUGAAAAUGUUUUAGGAACAGUGAUACAAAGAAAGAAAAAUAUAUCCUAUGAUUGCUUUCAUCAAAGUUGAUGCGUCCCAGACCUAUGUUCCAGCAUACAAACCAUAUAUAUAAAACAGAGGAUUAGCAGUUACACACACUUCAAUUGCGAUAUCAGUCAUUUAAAGGGAACACAUUGCUCAAGAAGAGGCGAGGAUUGAAGUCAGAUGAGCCAUGAGGGACAUCUCAUUUCUUGGCGAGCAGCUUCUUUGGUAGCUUCUCCAAAGGUAUAGUCUU